rnacentral:lncRNA from 1 species
GCAGAGCUCAGUGGUGGCGCAGAAAGUGUUCACUUCUUCUGUUUCGGGCUGUACGCUGUGGUUCUGCGCCUCCAGGGCUUUGCUGCCUGGCGAGCGUCCUCCCUGUACCACAGGAUCCUUGCCCGACUACAAACCCGAGGCUUCUAUUAGGAUAGUCUGGAUUCGCCAUAGGGGUUUCUCCUAGCGCGGAUUGUGUGUUUGCGUUGGCGAUGCUCAUAGAAGAAAGGCGCAGAGCUGUACGAGGAGGCGGGAUGCACGGGUCAGAGCCCUCGGUGGCCUCCGCCCGCUGCUCUUGGCGCCGGUCCGCUCCUGGAGAUAGCGCGGCAGCCGCCUGGGAGGCGAAGCGCGUAAUCUCCGCGCUACCCACGCGGGGCCGCGGCGUGGUGGCCGCACUUUGGCUUUGGGCGCUGGAUGGACAGUGGGGUAAAGGGUUGGGGUUCCCCUAACGUGGAUUACUUGGUGCUUAUCAACUGGAUUUAGAAGACUCUCGACCUGGUCUCCAUCAUCCGUGGGUUGUCUUUCCAUCUCCCAGCCGCUCUUUCACCUGGAGGUAAGUUUCCCCCCCGCAGUGCGCAGUUGUGGAUUUGAUUUGCCCUUCUUUAGCCUUGUGUUGGUUUUUGAAGGUUUAAGGAUUGACGUCCGGGAAAUCAUUUUAGCAACCCUCAGGUGGACCCUACUAGCUCAGAUCUCUGUAGUCAGCGGCUGUUCUGGGCUCAUCGUCCUGUCCUGCGGCAUGGAUAAGCCAUUGGUUACCCCGCGCCAGGACAGAGAGCGCCUGCCUUCUUGGCACUUGCCUUUUGGCAGGGUUGGUCCUUUGGGACCCUUUGCUUUGCUAGCCAUGCCUCUCCAGGAAGCUGCCCAUUGCACGCAGCGGGCUGCUGAGGCACAGUGUUUGCAAGAGGCCACGGGGGCUGGGUAGCCGUGGGAGCGCUUGGUGGAUACUGCAUUAUUUUCAGGACUGGGCUGCUGUGGAGUUGAUGGAGAGAUGGGUAUUGGCCACCAUGUGAGUACAGUUUACCAGGGCAGGAAUUUGGUCCAGUGUUUGCACCUACCAUCCUCCUCCUCUUGGUGUGACUUUUAUGAUGAAGAAGACUUUUGCCUUAGGUCUUGAGACAUAACUGUAAAUCAUAGGAGUCAGUACUCAAUAAUAGGUCUCUCUCCUCCUUGUCCUUUUGUGAUUGCGUUGUAGUAGGGAGGUUGGUACCUGUCACGAGGUUGUCUGAGAGUAGGUGUUUGUUGAAUGAAUGAUAGAGCUUCCCCACCCUAAAUUACACCAGGUUCCUCUGUUUCCUUUUCCCUCCUGGGCUCUCACCCUUAAUUCCAGAACUUUCCCCCUGGUCCUGGUUUCCUGGGGACAAUUUCCAGAUAUGGAUUUCUUCUCCCCUCCCCCACCGAUCCCUGUCAGCAGUCCUGAGGUGUUCUUUUGGAACGUGUGUGUGUGUGUGUGUGUGGUGGUCCAUUUCCCACCCCAGAACUCCCUCCAACAGAGGAAGCUAUUCAGCCAGGGACUGGCUUUGGUGAGUGCCCAGGAGCCCUGAGGUCUCAGUCAGCACCUGCGCAAGGAGGGCAGGCUAGGCAGCAUA